rnacentral:misc_RNA from 1 species
UAAUACAAAUAGGAAACAAGAUAUGCAUAAGGAGAAAGAUAUAAUAAUCCCUUUAAUGUGGGGAUUGAGAUUUCAACACUCCCCCUCAAGUUAGUUCGUGUAUAUCCCAACUUGCAAACUAGAGGAUGAAAUAUUUUGCUGCUGAGUCCCUUGGUGAACACAUCGGCUAACUGAUCUUUAGAAGUUACAUGAGAGACACUCAACAAUCCAUCUACAAUUUUCUCCUUUAUGAAGUGUUGGUCAAUUUCUAUAUUUUUGGCUUGAUCAUGCUAUACUGGAUUGUAAACAAUGCUGAUAGUAGCUUUGUUAUCACAAAACAAGUAUAAACUAUUUGUUUCUAAUAGUUUCAGUUAUUCCAUUAACUUUCGUAAUUACAACAAUUCACAUACACCUUGAGCCAUGGCUCUAUAUUCAGCCUCUGUACUGAAUCUAGUAGUCACACUUGGUUUUUUACUUCUUUAAUUGACCAGUUUACUACCAAUAAAAGUACAAUAACCCAUUGUUGAACUUCUAUCAUCAAGAGAUCCAGCCCAA